GAAGGGCUGUAACUCUGGGACAGAGCACCUGCCUUGCAUGUAGAAGUUCCCAGGUUCAAUCCCUGGCAGCUUCU